CUGCUUGGCUCCAAGGAGACAGAGAACACGAAGUGCCCAGAAUUUGGUUUAAUGAUUAUCUGACUUUCAAAAAGUUGAUUCUCCAUUAUGUACAUGUGGCUUUGCAGUUUAUGGGCGAACACAUUACAAGACGAUAUGCUUUAAACAGGAUAACCGAAGAAGAAGGCUGCUGAGCCGCUAAGAAGGGAAGAAUCCCUCGGCUUUAGAAUGAAUCGUCCCUGAUCUUUUGAGUUGAGGCGGUUCACCCACAGCCCGGGAAGACAACAUCUAGCUACAUAGCCUGACUGGCCUGGAACUCACUAUGUCGACUAUGUCACUAUGUCACUAUGUCAAGCUUGAAACACCUGAGCAGUUCUCCUGCUUCAGCUGCCCAGGGUGCUCUUAAAAGAUCCCUGUUUCCUUAAUUCAUCAUGAACACUGCUAUGUGCAAACAACAAUUGCUUCAUGUUGUAAUUACUAUGCAAAACUACAAGGAGAUUUUCUUGAAGACUGAACUUUAAGGCAGGAUUCAACAUGGCAUGCAAAAAGCAACUUGCCCUUCCAAAGACCCACUCUGCUGCCACCUGUCGUUCCUCCAGAGCAAUGACUCACCUGCCAACUCUUCAUCAUGAAUUACUGAGAAACACCAUCAUCUCCGGUAUUAUAAUCAGAUUGCAUCCCGGAUAUUUUUAUACUCAGGGAGUUUUUGAGUCUGCAACAGUUGGAGAAGCAUGUUUUAAAGCAGCCACACAUGGCCAUACAGACUUAGACUUCUCCCCUGGCACAGGCAACAGGCAUUAGAGAAGAUUGAAAAGACAAGGAGAGACAGUUUAGGAUUUUUUUUGUUACAUUAUUUUUUAUUUUUAUAUUAGUUACUGUUUAUUCACUUUGUAUCCCAGCUGUAGCCUCCUCUCUCAUUCCCUCCCAGUCCCACCUUCCCUCCCUCAUCUUCACCCAUGGCCCUCCCCAAGUCCACUGAUAAGGGAGGUCUUCCUGCCCUUCCAUCUACCCUAGUCUAUCAGGUCUCAUUAGGACUGGCUGCAAUGUCUUUCUCUGUGGCCUGGUAAGGCUGCUCCUCCCUCAGGGAGGGGCAGUAGCUUCACAAGGAGAGCAACAGAACCGAAAAAUCUGAGCCCAGGGUCUUUUCUGAGACUGAUAUUCCAACCAAGGACCAUUCAUGGAUAUAACCUAAACCCCUGCUCAGAUGUAGCCCAUGGCAGUUCAGUAUCCAAAUGGGUACCCUAGUAAGGGGAACAGGAACUGUCUCUGACAGUUUAGGAUUUCUAACUCACCAGAACCAAUAGAAUGCCUCAAGCAGUGGUUCUCAACCUGUGCUUCAUGUCCCUUUGGAAAAUCUCUAUUUCCAAAGAUAUUUACAUUGCACUUCAUAACAGUAGCAAAAUUACUGUUACAAAGUGACAACACAAUUUUCUGGUUGGGUCUCACUGUCACAUCAGCAACUGUGUUAAAGGGUCACAGUAUUAGCAAGAGUGAGAAACAACUAUGACAGCUUAUGAAGAAAAAACCCAGAAUUUAAUGGCAGCAGUUAUGGAAGUAACAUUUUAUUCCAGGAGUACCCAGGGUCCUGUCCCUUAACCCCUUUGUAUAUGAAUUAGUCUCACUACUAAAAACUGUCAAGACAGAAAUGGGAAGUCGAGUCCUUCCUUUGAGCUGUUCAGAGUUUCGGUCUUUAACAGUAUUUCAUGUCCCCAGAAAUCAGCCCCUCUAAGGCAGCUAUCUGAAAUACAAGCAGCCACCGGGAAAACUACAAUCAAUAAACAAAUAGCAACUAUAUGGCAGAUUGCUAUUCCUAAAAUAGGCACACAAAGGAAUAUUAAAUUUGGUCCUCUGUAUACUUUCUAUUUUAGGUUAUUUUUGUCUUUUGUUUUAUUAACUUUUCUUACAGAAACAAUUUUAUCUCAGUUAAGUUUGUUAUUGCUCAGAGUAUUAGCAUGAGGAACAAAUUUCUAAUUUUCUUAUUUGUAUUUGUUAAUAGUAGAGUUUGUUUUUUUAGUGGGUUUCCAGCUUUUAACAGACACAAUUAAAUGUAUGUUUUUAAAAUACAUCUUAAAUAUAUAUUUAAAUUAGCAA